UACGUAGGGGGCAAGCGUUGUCCGGAUUUAUUGGGCGUAAAGCGCUCGCAGGCGGCUCGAUGCGUCGUGCGUGAAACACCCCGGCUCAACUGGGGAGGGUCGUGCGAUACGGUCGGGCUGGAGGCCAGUAGGGGGAUGCGGAAUUCCGGGUGUAGUGGUGGAAUGCGUAGAGAUCCGGAGGAACACCGAAGGCGAAGGCAGUGUCCUGGGGAGUACCUGACGCUCAGGUGCGAAAGCUAGGGGAGCGAACGGG
rnacentral:rRNA from 1 species